rnacentral:rRNA from 1 species
UACGUAGGGUGCAAGCGUUAAUCGGAAUUACUGGGCGUAAAGCGUGCGCAGGCGGCUAUGCAAGACAGAUGUGAAAUCCCCGGGCUUAACCUGGGAACCGCAUUUGUGACUGCACAGCUGGAGUACGGCAGAGGGGGAUGGAAUUCCGCGUGUAGCAGUGAAAUGCGUAGAUAUGCGGAGGAACACCGAUGGCGAAGGCAGUCCCCUGGGCCUGUACUGACGCUCAUGGACGAAAGCGUGGGGAGCAAACAGG